AUACUCCUGACUGACCGAUAGUGAACCAGUACCGUGAGGGAAAGGCGAAAAGAACCCCGGCGAGGGGAGUGAAAAAGAACCUGAAACCGUGUACGUACAAGCAGUGGGAGCACCUUCGGGUGUGACUGCGUACCUUUUGUAUAAUGGGUCAGCGACUUAUAUUCUGUAGCAAGGUUAACCGUAUAGGGGAGCCGCAGGGAAACCGAGUCUUAACUGGGCGUUAAGUUGCAGGGUAUAGACCCGAAACCCGGUGAUCUAGCCAUGGGCAGGUUGAAGGUUGGGUAACACUAACUGGAGGACCGAACCGACUAAUGUUGAAAAAUUAGCGGAUGACUUGUGGCUGGGGGUGAAAGGCCAAUCAAACCGGGAGAUAGCUGGUUCUCCCCGAAAGCUAUUUAGGUAGCGCCUCGUGAACUCAUCUUCGGGGGUAGAGCACUGUUUCGGCUAGGGGGUCAUCCCGACUUACCAACCCGAUGCAAACUACGAAUACCGAAGAAUGUUAUCACGGGAGACACACGGCGGGUGCUAACGUCCGUCGUGAAGAGGGAAACAACCCAGACCGCCAGCUAAGGUCCCAAAGUCAUGGUUAAGUGGGAAACGAUGUGGGAAGGCACAGACAGCCAGGAUGUUGGCUUAGAAGCAGCCAUCAUUUAAAGAAAGCGUAAUAGCUCACUGGUCGAGUCGGCCUGCGCGGAAGAUGUAACGGGGCUAAACCAUGCACCGAAGCUGCGGCAGCGACACUAUGUGUUGUUGGGUAGGGGAGCGUUCUGUAAGCCUGCGAAGGUGUGCUGUGAGGCAUGCUGGAGGUAUCAGAAGUGCGAAUGCUGACAUAAGUAACGAUAAAGCGGGUGAAAAGCCCGCUCGCCGGAAGACCAAGGGUUCCUGUCCAACGUUAAUCGGGGCAGGGUGAGUCGACCCCUAAGGCGAGGCCGAAAGGCGUAGUCGAUGGGAAACAGGUUAAUAUUCCUGUACUUGGUGUUACUGCGAAGGGGGGACGGAGAAGGCUAUGUUAGCCGGGCGACGGUUGUCCCGGUUUAAGCAUGUAGGCUGAUUGUCCAGGCAAAUCCGGAUAAUCAAGGCUGAGGUGUGAUGACGAGGCACUACGGUGCUGAAGUAACAAAUGCCCUGCUUCCAGGAAAAGCCUCUAAGCAUCAGGUAACAUCAAAUCGUACCCCAAACCGACACAGGUGGUCAGGUAGAGAAUACCAAGGCGCUUGAGAGAACUCGGGUGAAGGAACUAGGCAAAAUGGUGCCGUAACUUCGGGAGAAGGCACGCUGGUGUGUAGGUGAAGUCCCUGCGGAUGGAGCUGAGACCAGUCGAAGAUACCAGCUGGCUGCAACUGUUUAUUAAAAACACAGCACUGUGCAAACACGAAAGUGGACGUAUACGGUGUGACGCCUGCCCGGUGCCGGAAGGUUAAUUGAUGGGGUUAUCCGUAAGGAGAAGCUCUUGAUCGAAGCCCCGGUAAACGGCGGCCGUAACUAUAACGGUCCUAAGGUAGCGAAAUUCCUUGUCGGGUAAGUUCCGACCUGCACGAAUGGCGUAAUGAUGGCCAGGCUGUCUCCACCCGAGACUCAGUGAAAUUGAACUCGCUGUGAAGAUGCAGUGUACCCGCGGCAAGACGGAAAGACCCCGUGAACCUUUACUAUAGCUUGACACUGAACAUUGAGCCUUGAUGUGUAGGAUAGGUGGGAGGCUUUGAAGCGUGGACGCCAGUCUGCGUGGAGCCAACCUUGAAAUACCACCCUUUAAUGUUUGAUGUUCUAACGUUGGCCCCUGACCGGGGUUGCGGACAGUGUCUGGUGGGUAGUUUGACUGGGGCGGUCUCCUCCCAAAGCGUAACGGAGGAGCACGAAGGUUAGCUAAUCCUGGUCGGACAUCAGGAGGUUAGUGCAAUGGCAUAAGCUAGCUUGACUGCGAGCGUGACGGCGCGAGCAGGUGCGAAAGCAGGUCAUAGUGAUCCGGUGGUUCUGAAUGGAAGGGCCAUCGCUCAACGGAUAAAAGGUACUCCGGGGAUAACAGGCUGAUACCGCCCAAGAGUUCAUAUCGACGGCGGUGUUUGGCACCUCGAUGUCGGCUCAUCACAUCCUGGGGCUGAAGUAGGUCCCAAGGGUAUGGCUGUUCGCCAUUUAAAGUGGUACGCGAGCUGGGUUUAGAACGUCGUGAGACAGUUCGGUCCCUAUCUGCCGUGGGCGCUGGAGAAUUGAGGGGGGCUGCUCCUAGUACGAGAGGACCGGAGUGGACGCAUCACUGGUGUUCGGGUUGUCAUGCCAAUGGCACUGCCCGGUAGCUAAAUGCGGAAGAGAUAAGUGCUGAAAGCAUCUAAGCACGAAACUUGCCCCGAGAUGAGUUCUCCCUGAGACUAUAAGUCUCCUGAAGGAACGUUAAAGACGAUGACGUUGAUAGGCCGGGUGUGUAAGCGCAGCGAUGCGUUGAGCUAACCGGUACUAAUGAACCGUGAGGCUUAACCUU
rnacentral:rRNA from 1 species